GUAGGGAAUAUUGGGCAAUGGAUGCAAGUCUGACCCAGCCAUCCCGCGUGCCUGAAGAAGGCCCUCAGGGUUGUAAACGGCUUUUGACGGUGAAGAAUCGACAGGAUGCGUCCUGUUUUGACGGUAGCCGUUGAAUAAGCACCGGCUAACUCCGUGCCAGCAGCCGCGGUAAUACGGAGGGUGCGAGCGUUGUCCGGAUUUAUUGGGUUUAAAGGGUGCGUAGGCGGGAAGGUCAGUCAGCGGUGAAAAGCUGUCGCUUAACGAUAGUCUUGCCGCAGAUACUUCCUUUCUUGGAUGAGGAGGAGGCCACUGGAACGGAUGGUGUAGUGGUGAAAUGCAUAGAUAUCAUCCAGAACACCGAUUGCGAAGGCAGGUGGCUGUACCUUAAUCGACGCUGAUGCACGAAAGCAUGGGGAGCAAACAGGAUUAGAAACCCGAGAGUCC
rnacentral:rRNA from 1 species